GCGGGAUUGGCAUAGUGGCUGUGCAGUAGCCUUCCAAGCUACCUACAAGGGUUCAAUUCCCUUAUCCCGCUCCA
rnacentral:tRNA from 1 species